rnacentral:tRNA from 1 species
GCCCUGUAGCUCAGCCUGGUUGAGCGUUCGACUGAUAAUCGAAAGGUCCCGUGUUCAAAUCACGGCGGGGGCG